rnacentral:rRNA from 1 species
ACCGUACUCCUACGGGAGGCAGCAGUAGGGAAUCUUCCGCAAUGGACGAAAGUCUGACGGAGCAACGCCGCGUGAGUGAUGAAGGUUUUCGGAUCGUAAAGCUCUGUUGUUAGGGAAGAACAAGUGCAAGAGUAACUGCUUGCACCUUGACGGUACCUAACCAGAAAGCCACGGCUAACUACGUGCCAGCAGCCGCGGUAAUACGUAGGUGGCAAGCGUUGUCCGGAAUUAUUGGGCGUAAAGGGCUCGCAGGCGGUUUCUUAAGUCUGAUGUGAAAGCCCCCGGCUCAACCGGGGAGGGUCAUUGGAAACUGGGAAACUUGAGUGCAGAAGAGGAGAGUGGAAUUCCACGUGUAGCGGUGAAAUGCGUAGAGAUGUGGAGGAACACCAGUGGCGAAGGCGACUCUCUGGUCUGUAACUGACGCUGAGGAGCGAAAGCGUGGGGAGCGAACAGGAUUAGAAACCCCUGUAGUCCUUGAC